rnacentral:rRNA from 1 species
AUAAUAGAGAGUUUGAUCCUGGCUCAGGGUGAACGCUGGCGGCGCGCUUAAUGCAUGCAAGUCGAGCGUGCCUCGGUGACUUCGGUUGCCGGGGACAGCGGCAGACGGCUGAGUAACGCGUGAGUAACCUACCCUUCGGUAUGGUAUAGCCACGGGAAACUGUGGGUAAUCCCGUAUACGACCCCCAAGCCCUGGUUUGGGGAGGAAAGCCUUCGGGCGCCGGAGGAGGGGCUCGCGUCCUAUCAGGUAGUUGGUGGGGUAACGGCCCACCAAGCCGAUGACGGGUAGCUGGUCUGAGAGGACGAUCAGCCAGAGGGGGACUGAGACACGGCCCCCACUCCUACGGGAGGCAGCAGCAGGGAAUCUUGGGCAAUGGGCGAAAGCCUGACCCAGCGACGCCGCGUGGGGGAUGAAGGCCUUCGGGUCGUAAACUCCUUUUCCAGGGGACGAUAAUGACGGUACCUUGGGAAGAAGCCCCGGCUAACUACGUGCCAGCAGCCGCGGUAAAACGUAGGGGGCGAGCGUUACCCGGAAUUAUUGGGCGUAAAGGGCAUGUAGGCGGUUCGGUCCGUCGUUGGUGAAAGGCCUCAGCUUAACUGGGGAGCCGCUAACGAUACCACCAGACUAGAGGGCAGUAGAGGUGAGUGGAAUUCCCGGCGUAGCGUUGAUAUGCGUAGAGUUCGGGAGGAACACCAGUGGCGAAGGCGACUCACUGGGCUGUCCCUGACGCUAAGGUGCGAAAGCGUGGGG